AUAUUUCUCUCCAUUGCCUCAUUCUUCGGGUCGUGGCCCCUUUCUCUGCCUUUGGAGUACAUGACUCCGAUCUUGGCUUCCCCACCAUACCGUUUCCUGAGAAGAUGACGUCUUCGUCUCUGGGGUGACGACUGUUGUAAUGAUUGGGCCCAGCUGGAUAAUAGGCCAUAAUCUAUCUCAAGAUCGCUAAUGACAUUUUCCAAGAUGCUGUGUGAUACAAGUUCAAGACUUCCGGGAAUUGGCAGAUGGACAGCUCACAUCAGAGAGGAUCCUGACCAUAACUACCUGCCUGGUAGUGAGAAAGCAGGUGAAGAAAAUGAAGUGUGAGUUUCCAGAGGGAUGGUGGUAGAGGGCAGGACUGAAAAAGAAGACGACCUUUCUGACGAGGCCUCAAAGCUGUCUGCAUGGAGAGACGAGGCCCACCGAAGGAGCAAGAUUUAAAUGCUGGGAGACACAGG
rnacentral:lncRNA from 1 species